UUGUCGACAAAUUUUUGGGGUUUACUAUGGAUUGAGUUGAUUCAUACACAAUGGAUGAUGCUUCGUAUACCGGGUUUUUUGGGGAAAUUUAUUCACCAUUUUUUCUAAAUACUAGUAAAAUUUGCUGCUAGUGCACUACAAAUUUCCUUUGAUGUAAUUAAAAAUGUAUCAUGUGUAACAUUUUAUCUUGUUUUCAGUGAAACAAAAUUUUGCUUCCACCGAUGAGAUAAUUUGUUGCUAUCGCAAUCUAAUAUUAUUUUGAUGUAACAAAAAAUUGCGUGAAAGCAAUUUGCUUCCAUGUGAAAAAGUCAUAUAAGUAAUUUUUUUCCAACACAAGGAAAACUUUGCUUCCAUCAAAUGCCAAGUGUUUCCAUGGUAAAAACUAUUUGUCUCCAACAGGACAGAAGUUUGUUUCCUGCUUCAUUUGUUCAUAUACUAAGUUCAAGUCAUGAUACAAAGUUAUUUUCUUCCCAGUCCCCAGUAGUAUGUACACUGCUUCUAAGUUAAUGCCAUAUGUUUCCUACAGAUUGUAGACUUGCUUCUCUUCGAGUGUGGUCGUCUUCAUUGUAGGGGAGGUCAGGGUAUCAUCGCACUUCUAGGUGCAUGCUUCGGUCGCUUCCAUAUAUGUCUCUGGUGGCGCCCAAGUGCUUGAAGCAUACAUCACCAAAUAUAUAAAAUAUAUGAAGCAUGCUGAUAGUUUUUAAAUGCAAACAAUUCUCUUGACAAUGUAAGAAAACAUAUAUAAAAAGUAGAAGCAUGUUUCUAUUGAUGUAAAGUAUCUCGGCUGAAUAAAACAUAUAGUAAGGUUAGGAAGCAUGGACAUUAGGAAGCAUCCAUUAUUUGUUAUGUCAACAUAACUCAUACCUAGAAGAAGCAUAGAAUAUUCUAACUAGAAACUAGCAGUCACAACAUGUACGGUGUGUAUCUGUGAAUCAAUAAUUUUGUGGUCUAAUAAAAACCAAUUUCUUCCAUCGAUGCAAACAAACUGGAAUGUCGUCGAUGCACAUAUAUGAUGUUUAUGAAGCAUGGAUAAUUGGCAGACCAUUAAGCAUCUUAGAAGCAUAAAAACUUUAGGCAUGAUGAAUAACAAUUGACAAUGGGAAGCAACAACUAGUACUAGAAAGAAGGUUCAAAAUACAUGUAUUGAAAGGUUGGAUCCUUGAGAAUAAAUAUUUUGAAGCAUGGUUACAUUGCGGUAAAUUAUCUAAACUGAAGAAACGUACAGCAGACUAGGAAGCAAGGAUAUCUCGAAGCAUCAAUUUCAUUCUACCUGAACAUAAGUCAUGCCCAAUGGAAGCAUAACAACAGAAACUAGAAAUUGACAAUAGUUAUUGCCAACAUGCAAGUGCAACAUUGUGAUAUGCAAACUAAUUCUAUCCAAAUUGACCAGUUCUAUUUUUUUGCACACAUAAAAAUGAGGCAGAGCAUGAUAAAAACAUGGAAUCAAUUGAAACAAAUUACCAUCAAUCAUAGUAAAAUUGUAUUCAAAUUAAAGAACAAAAGUAUCAGAGACAACUGCUAGUUCACUAGUCGAGGGGUGGUGGAGAUGGUGGGCACACCCUACAACCUCCAUGCAACCUGGUGAUGCAGCGGUGUAGAUGACGGAUUGACGGGCACAAACACCUCAUGCAGGGAUGUCGUGCCGACGAGGUUGCUGGGGUCAUAUCAUGGAGCAGAUCACACAUGGGUUUCGAUUUGGACCUGGGCCGUGCGGUGGAUAGUGUGGCUGGCAACGAGGUGGAAAUGAAGCAUGGUGUGCAGCAGGUUGAAUCUGGGCGAAGAGUAAAGGCGACAAUGUCGAUGGCGAGCUUAGAUGGAGAUGCAUGUGGAAAAACGAGGGUGGGAACGGGAGAGAGACGGAUCAGACGAGAAACAUAAAGGAUAUAUAAUCAUGCAUGCGUGACAUACGGUGGUUAGCACCGGCUGAUAAGAAUUAACAUUUAUUAUAUUAUAAACACAAGGGCUAGUGUUUUAUGUCUCCACCAUGGGAUUGAACUGAAAUCCACGGAUAUGGUGUGGUCUCGUGUUGUCUUGUUACCAGACUAUAGAUAAGUGUUUCCCAUACUUAAAC
rnacentral:lncRNA from 1 species